GUCUAGGGCCAUACCACCCUGAAUGCGUCAGGUCUCCUCUGAUCUCAGAAGCUAAGUGGGGUCGGGCCCGGAUAGUACUUGGAUGGGACAAUAUACUAUGUUCCUGAUACC
ensembl:rRNA 5S_rRNA 5S ribosomal RNA